UCGCUGCGAAGAGAUUCGGAGAGGAAAGUCGGGACAACACAGAGCACCAUACUUCCUAACAGGAAGGGGCAGGGGAGACUCUGUCACAGAUAGCGUCGCAGAAACUAUACCGCCGUGGAUUUUUAUUUCGCGGUAAGGGUGAAAACGUGAGGUAAGAGCUCACGCUAUGAUAUGGCAACAUAUUGUGGGGACAAGCCUUAUGGGUUGAAAUGCCAAAUAAACCGGAGAGUCUGCUUUGCAGACUAAGGGUUGCUCGUCCGAUUCCGGGGGGUAGGCAGAUAGAGGUGCGAGGUGACUCGCAUCGUAGAUAAAUGAUAGGACACGACAGAAUCCCGCUUAUAGAG
rnacentral:RNase_P_RNA from 1 species